GAGGAAAGGUGUAGGAAAGAGAAAAAUAUGUGGCCUCUGCCCUGAAAAGGAAGUGAUUUAUACAGGACUGUAAAGGAAGCCCCCAGGAUCAGUGCUAGGCUGUGAUUUUGGAGCUGUGGCUGCUGUCAAAAUCAAGAUUUUAAGUAAAAGAAGACAACCAGAAAAGUCUGUGGGCAGCAAGACGAAACACUGCGGAUAAGGAGAGUGUGGGAACCCAUAGAACGACAAACUCAACGUACAAACUCAAGGAUGUGUGAGGACGGCUGUCCUGUUCCAAAUACAUUGCUGCAGAUCAUCAGUCUGGAUGUUUAACUGAGCCUCCCAGUAAUGGGAUACUAUCUACUGCCUGCAUCUCUGUAUAAAAAAAAUAUGACAGAUCCUUAUUUGGGACUAUCUCACUCAAAAAUGAAACGUUUCCUACCAAGAAACAAACCUUCAUCACCAGGAUCAGCCCAGUCCAAGGCGGCGCACUCAGCUCUUCUUCUCCUCUGUCUGUAACGUUAACAGCAACGCGACCAGCUACCGUAACAGCAGUUGUUGCAAGCAACAUGCUCACUCGCGCUUUCUACCCCCGGCUACUGUAGUAAGUCUACACACAUUUCUCAUUCACAAAACGCUAAAAUCGGGGACAUUUCCAGGGGCCGCUUUAGCCGGGGACAGGUCGUCUAAACACAGUCAUAUUCACAGUAAUCCCAAUUUGGACUAUGGCGCUUUAUCCCAAGUUUUGCUGAUAUUAUGCUAGGUGUGGACAGACCGCUCAGAUGACAUGACUGACGUACCCGCCAUCUGCAAGAAAAAAAAAACAACCACAACCCGAGACUAGACUUCAUACUUAUGCAUGAGACACAGACAAAAACUAAGGACAUUAUCUUAGUUAAUUUUUGUUAGUUUUGUGAACACUUAUUACAGUUUUAGUUUUCAUUUUUUUGCAGUCUCGUUUUGAUUUUUAUUUCACUUAACAAAAAUGUUUUUUUACUUCUAGUUUUCAUUAUUUGGUUUGUUUUCGUUAACGAUAAUAACAUUGGAAACAGCAAGCUAAUGACAAAUGGUUUACCCAGUUUAAAUAAAAAACAUUCUGUAACCUCCAUCAGUGAUUUUUGUUUUAGCUUUGAAACCAAAGUUCUUUGUAUUUAAUCAAUUAUUUUUUGAGAACAACACUUUAACCUUAAUUAAUUUAAUAGUAUAAUACAAUUAGUCCAAAUUAAUCUUUCUUAUGUCUACAAACACAGGCCUCAGCUUACACUGAAGCAUGUUUACAAAAGUGAUGUUUUGCUAUCAAUACUGUAACAAUCAUUUCUACCUCAGAUGCAGGUGUCAAUCCUCCAACAUUAAAAACCUUCAAAACUAAAACACUAAACAAAUGUGUGUCUGUCUGUGUUGCUCCUGGGAACAGGAAACCUGAAACUGUCAUAUUGAUAUUCCCCCUGUUAACGUACACAGAAAAACAAAGCUAGGAUAAUGAUGCGAUCUAUGAAGCAGAAACAGUAACAAAGGGCAGCCCCUAUGCAAAGUGAUACUGCUGUGUGUUAAGGCCUUCAGAAGACACCUGCUUGUUUCCACAACAUAACUCACAUUUCUGAACCAAUCGUUUGGCUCGAGUGAGAACCAGAAAGCAUGUUUAACACAAUUUAGCAGGCUGGAGCUCAAAUAUCCAAUUUCGUCUUUUAUCAUCUGUUGUUGAAAUGGUUUCUGAGAUUACAUAGACAAUCAAUACAUCGUCAGCCCAUAAAAUUACACCAGCACAAUAAGUACCUGACAACAAAUGGCAGCAAAUAAAGUCAAAGUAAGUUGCCUGUUGACAGGUUACAAAUGCUUCAACUCCACGAAAGGUCCAAAAACACUGAAAGCAACACAUGUGUCACUAGGAUUAAGUAGCCAUGGCAUUCAUAAAGUCCUUCAAACCACAUGAAACAGGGGCAGAAGAAACUGCAUCACAGCUCUGCCAGUAAAGAGUUCUUGGUCAGUGUAAACUUUGGCCUGGUUUAGAGCCACAUGCACAGAUUAAAAGCCUUGCAACAUUAAAGGGCUUGACCACCUGUCUCAGUUCUCUCUCUGUCAGGCCUGAAUGAAACCACAGGGAGAUCUUCUUCUUCCAGAACACCACCUGCCACCACUAACUCCCUUUAAUGUUGGGCAACCCUUUAAAGAUCCCACAAUGGUGCUUUGUGAGAGUGCCCAUUCCAACAUGGAGACUACUUGCAAAGUGACAUCACACUGUGCUCAUACUACAAAGUAAAUUAAAACUGGUCCUGUAAAUGUCUAGAUAAAUAUACUUCGGAGAAGUCAUAACUUCACAUUUUUCAUUGCAUACUUUAAUAUAAUUUUCCCUUUGAGACCAAACUUUAUGGCAAUAAAAUUAGACGCUAAGGUGGCAAAUAUAUUUCAAUGUUUACUUACUAAAAAAUGAGUCUGGGUGAAAUUAAAAACACACACCCCUUUUAAAAUGGCAGGUUUUAGUGAUGUGAAGAAAAUCAGUCCCUGAUAAAUUGUUUCAGAUCUUUUUUCACCUUUAAUGUUACCUUAUGCUUUUCAAUUAAAUGGAAAAACCAACUAAUAUGUUAGAAGGAAAAUAGUUAAACAACCAGGUUGUUGCAGAUUUUGUUCUAAGUGUACCCAUAAAGUAUGGACAAUCAGAUCAUUUUCAUCCUUUGCAAACUCUCUGCAACAUUAACUAAAGGAUGCUAGUGAGCAAAUGUAAAGAAAAUCCAGGAAGUGAAGCUGACAAUUAUUUACAGCCAGUCAGACUUUCUACAGUUGAUGGCAGGUGUAUACCCAAGAGCCUAAAUGCUGCAAUUAAAUUAAAAGCUGUUUCAACAAAUUUUUCAUUUAAGCGGGUGAGCACUUGUGCAACUGGUUAUUGUAGUAUUUAUAAUAUUCCGAGGUAAAUGUGACAUUAAAAGUGGGAAAUGUUCUGUUUGGUCUCAUUUUUAGACAGUGGUAUGUAGACGUUUGAGAUCCACUAUGUAUGGCGUGCAGUUAGAAGUGAUAAAUUGAGACUGAACUUAAAUACCCAGGAAAAACAAAUUACAAAUGUUUAGUAAAGUUAAAAUGUAGUAGUAGUUGCCAGGUCAUUUAUCACUACAAACUACAACUGAUAUAUCAUCAGUAAUUAUCUGGUUUGCUGUCAAUAUAGAGUGCAUAUUAAAAUUAGAAUGUAUCAAAACCAAAAGAUUCCACCUUUUUCAGUUCAGACAUAUUACAAAUAAACAAACAAAUUAAGGUAGCACUGUUGCCUUGCAGCAAGAAGGUCCUGGUUUGACUCCUGGCCGGGGUCUUUCUGCAUGAAGAUUGCAAUUUCUCCCAGUGCAUGCAUGGGUUCUCUCCGGGUCCUCCGGCUUCCUCCGACAGUCCAAAAACUUCACUGUUAGGUUAAUUGGUCCGUCUUAAUUGCCUUUAGGUAUGAAUGGGUGUGUACAUGGUUGUUUGUCCUGUGUGUCUCUGUGUUGCCCUGCAAUGGACUGGUGACUUGUCCAGGGUGUACCAGGCCUCUCGCUCAAAGACUCCUAGAGAUGCACCAGUUACCCCGUG